CACCAUGCAGCAUACUCGCCGACCGGUGUCACUCGCCCUCAUCCGCGGACGACAACGAAGUACAAGCGCCGGAGCUGCCGGCUCAACCCGGCGCUAUCCGUCGCAGCGACAACGACGCCCGCGACGAAGCAGCCGGCUGCUGCUCGACGCCAUCAACGCCAUCUGCCGCAACGACAAUGACGCUCGUGACGGGGCUGCCGGCGUGCUGCGCGGCGCCAUCUUCAUCACCCGUGAGGCACGGCGACAUCUUUACCGCCCAUGAGACGCGGCGGUGACGUCCUUGAUGAGGCGGCCGGCAUGCAGCGCGGCGCCAUCUCAACCACCCGCGAGGCGCGAUGAUGACGAGUCCGUGCCAAGGCUGCAGGCAUGCAGCCCGGCGCCAUCUCCACCACCCGCGGGGCGCGUCGACGACGACGAGUCCGCACCGAGGCUGCCGGCAUGCAGUGUGGCACCAUCUCCACCACCCGCGAGGCGCGCCGACGAUGACGAGUCCACACCGAGGCUGCCGGCGUGCAGCGUGGCACCAUCUUCACCACACCACGAGACGUUGCGACGACGUCGUUGGCGAGGCUGCCGGCAUUCAGCGCGGCGACGACAUCCGUGUAGGGGCUGCUGGCGUGUAGCUCGGUGUCAUCUCCAACUCCGCAAGCGACGUCCAAGGAACGACAUCGCGUAGCCCAACGACAUCUUCACCGCCCAUGAGACGCGGCGGUGACGUCCUUGAUGAGGCCGCCGGCGUGCAGCGCGGUGCCAUCUUCACCACCCGUGAAGCGCGACGACGACGUCCGUGACGAGGCUGCCGGCUGCAGCACGGCGCCAUCUUCAUCACCCGUGAGGCGCGAUGACGACAACCUUGAUGAGGCGGCCGUCGUGCAGCGCGACGCCAUCUUCAACUCUACACCAUGCCACCAACGACAACGUCGGGGCUGCCGGUGUACAGUCCGGCGCCAUCCGCCAUGGCGAGGACGACGCCGACCUUGGCGAGGCUGCUGGCAUGCAUCGCGGCGCCAUCUCCAUGGCACCGACGAGCCUCGACGAUGACGUCCACGACAAGGCUGUCGGCGUGUAGCACGGCGCCAUAAACACCACUCCCGCGAGCCGCGACGGACGUCCGUGAUGAGGCCACCGGCGUGUAUCAUGGCGCCAUCAACACACCCACAAGCCGUGAUGACGACAUCUCCACCACCCGCGGGGCGCAGCGACGACAUCCGUGUCGGGGCUGCUGGCGCGCGGCGCCAUCUCCACCACCUGUGAGGCGCGAUGGUGACGCCCAUGAGGAGGCUGCCGACAUACAGUGCGGCGCCCUCUCCAUGAUGCCCACGAGGCGAGAACGACGUCCGCAACGAGGCCGCCCGCGUGUAUCGUGGCGCCACCUCCACCACAGCCUCCAAGCGCGACGACAACGAGUCCGUGUCAAGGCUGCCGGCGUGCAGCGCAACGCCGUCUUCACCAUGCUGCGAGGCGACAAUGUCUGCGCCAAGGCUGUCGGCGUGCAGCGCGGCGUCCUUUCCAUGACACCCGCGAGGCGCGAUGAAGGCGUUCGUGUUAGGGCUGCCCGCGCGCGUGAAGCAACGAGUGUAGCUAGCUAGUUCCUAAACUAGACUAGAGCAAACUCACUUCAUCAAACGGAUAAAUACACCUACGUAUCAGGGAGGGGCUCUACGUGCAUAUAUGCGCCAGAGGUGCAACCUCAACUAGUACAUGCGCUCAUGAACCACGCGGUCCUAAUCUUGGACACUCCUGUCAACGUCGAGCUGCUGCUAGCACGCGACGUCUCCACCAGCAGGCCUGAAGACGAUGGCAUCGUGGACUUCGGUGUACAGCUCGCCGAGGCCUCUUCUGGUGUGGAGCUUGUCGGCGUCGAGGUGUUGCCGGCGCGCAGUCCGGCCAUGGAUGCACUGGACUUGGCGUGACUCUCGUGGCCGCCACACCGUCGGGAGCUCGGCACGACUCAUGGUGUCGUAUGCGGUCAAGACCCACCAAAAGCUGGAGAGAAUGAACUCCAUGCCAUCCCGCAGCUCGAGCGCCUCGCUCAUCCGUGGCCUACCUACCGGCAGGAGUUGCUACCAUGUACUGAUGUUAAAUACAUCAUGUAUCCACGAACGUACAUGAGACCAAAGGAGCGCGCGCUCUUGGCACUCUCAACUACUCCACGACCCCUCGAUGAGGUUUCGAGCAAGGCGCCAUACCAACCAAAUCACCACCAACCUGAGAGUUAUUCUAGGCGGGCGUUCGCUAGCCACACCGACGUGGCUCCAUGCGGACGAACCUUCCUAGUCGUGAAAACAUCUUCCACAACACUUCUCCGCGAGCCCGUGAGAUGGCGUCUUUGACUACGUCGACGGCCAUGAACUUGGCGUCAGGCCCAAGACGCCGACCACACCGGCCAUGCCGACAUGAGCUUGUGUUGGUUUUACACCGACGCCGGUCUCCCGAUAAUUUACUCCCGCGAGGCAUACCCCUUAUGCACCCCGACGAUGCCGCUAAGUCGUCAAGAUGUCCUAGCUAAAUGGACUGCAUCAUGCUACUUCAACAACAAUCAUCAUCGCCGCUCAAGACCGACGAGGCGCGACGGCAAGGGCGGGCGAGGCCGCAGCACAGGCCACGCUUACAGCGGCGCGUGUACCGACGAGGACACGGGCUCUGCCGCUGCCCACACACAUAUUCACCACCAUCAUGCAUGCAGAACGUGAAGCGAAGACGACGAAGACGACCACACGGCUUAAUCGGAAGUGUCUCGCGGCGUAACCCGCGGGAGUAAUUAACCGGGAGCCUUCCGAGGCCCGGGGAAUCAGGAGACUGCAAUCGCUCUAGUCAGGCUGGCCGCGCUAGUAGGCCACGGAGCGUACACACAUGGGAAUUGUAUUUGUUAUUUAUAUGAUUAAUGAAAUACUGUUCCCGCAUCUCUUUUGUUUCUUUGUGUAUACUUAUACACUGGCACGCCCGCAUCUUUUUCUUUUACCGAUCCCCGGUGCGCGUGAGAGAACGACGCCCUUCCGCCCUACUCGCGGGAGUCGUCCGUACGUUUUUCUCGUGUCAAACAAUUAUAUGUCUCUUUUUCAUUGAUUAAGUUGAUGCAAAUAGCACUGAUUUUGUGCCUACUUUCUGGGAGAAAUACUCUCAGAUUGCUUGAAAUGAUGGGCUGGCUGACCAUUUGCAUAUUCUGCAAUUUUCUUUGGAUUUGGAUAUCUGCAGUACUUCUCAUUGUCUUCUUAUAUCGUCACUAUGAUGAAACCAAAUACCACUUGCACCUGUGUGCACGUCUGAUGUUUUUCUGCAUAUUAUGUAGCUGGUAAUACUGACCAAAUUUAAUCGAUAGUUCUACCUGAUAUUAUGGUGCAUUCUCGUUCAUCUCAAUAUAUAUCAUUAACUGAUGUUAUGACCCAUAUUGUUUGAUGGUCUGGGCUAUUACCUUGCUUGCUCCAGAUCCAUUUGAUUAUUGUCUGCCUCCUAAUUUACUAUUGUUUAUCAGGGUUCAAGCAAGUCCCUAGCAGAUAUGGGUCAAGUGAUGAUGAUUAUGCGGAUUCUGAUGACACUACACCUGAACACCAAAUUAUUGGUCACCUGUUCUGCAUCUCUGGGUCACAUAUGGGCAUAGGACCUGUUACAACAAAUACUUCACCACCGGCUGGAAAAAUUUGGGUACAUUCUGGACAAUGUAAGAUGUUGAAUGAUAAUACGCCCGUAUUUUUUUUAGACUAACAGGGAGCGCUCCCCAGCUCCAUCUUCUUUUUAUUGAAAAUGAAGCACAUAAGCGUUUUCGCCCGUAUUAUUUUGGGUGUUAUGUGGUGUCAGAUUACGCAAGCAUCGGAAUUUUGAACGAAAAUAGUGGCCUUAGGGUCCUCAUAAUGGAGAUAAUACCCAGUCAAGCCCGGUCGACUAUGCGAGCCCUCGAUUCUAAGGUAGCUCCACUAUUUGUGUGCCUUGCUUUUCUUGUCCAUGUUGCCUUGCCUUGAUGGUAUGAACCCAGCCAUAUGGUAUCAGGAUGGUCUUAAUUCUCUUAUGGGUUUGAUUUUUGAGUAUAAUUUUAUGAUUAGACCUAGGCCUGAAACUAUUAGAAGAGUUGUUCCAGAUCUAAAACUAUUAAAAGAGCUAUAUAUGGUACCUAUUUCUCGGAGCAGUGAGGUUCCUGUUUCUGUUCCAGGUACUAUUAUCGUUGAUGCCAUUUAUUUAAAAGCUAACUCCAUACACAAUACAAUUUUAGAUAUGAAGUUUUCAGGCUAAGAAAAUGAACUUUUGUUCAUAAGAUGUUAGCAACUCUAAAACAUGGAGAGUUGUUCAUCGUGAAUUUAUUUGAAUAAAUUGAGGCAUCUAGCUUGGGUUCAUCUAAAAAAAAGUACAUUAUGAUGCUAAUAACAUAGUACAGUUUAUGUUUAUACAUUGUUUGGAUGAUGCUUGCAUUAGAAAAUUCAUGCGCAUCAAGGAGUUCAUUUCUUGGAUGAUGUUUGUGCUGAAUACCAUGUCACACUACAAGAGCCUGAGGGCGUGCAGAUUGUUUGCCUUUUCUGUUUCAGAACAGCUAGGCAUUACUAAUUUUGGUUGAUGAAUCACUCCCUCAUUUAAUAAAAAAAUGCCUGGCUGUUUUGAGAUAAUUAAGACAUGCAAAUUUCAUGGACAUGAUCUGAUUGAAUCAAAUAGGAAUUCAUGAAGACAGGCUUGUUUCAUGUCCUAAUGUACUUUCUAUGCCAAGUAUUUUACCCGCUGAAUUCAUUUUGAGUCUUUCUGUUGUAGUUGUAGCACUUCAUGAAGACAGGCUUGUUUCAUGUCCUAAUGUACUUUCUAUGCCAAGUAUUUUAUCCGUUGAAUUCUUUUUGAGUCUUUCUGUUGUAGUUGUACCACUUCAUGUUGCCCAUGAUACUACUGUAGGACAAUGAUGAUAUCUUCUUAGCCAUGUGGUCUUGACUUGCAAGGUUUAGGAAAUUCACUGUGAUAUUUUUACGAUUUUAGAACCUCGAUACAUCCCAUCUCUCUCAUGAUAGCUACACCUUCUCCUUCCAUGAAAUUUACUUAAUUUGGAAGACGACACAUAUAAAACCUGCUAUUGGUGAAGUAUUAGACACGCAUGUCCAGAAUUAUGCAGACAAUUCUAGAUAUUCUUGGCUAUUUUUGUUCUGGUAGAAAUAGAUAAGUCUGUCCAUUCUGAACUGAACUUGGCACAAGGAAAUUCUUUUGAUUAAAGAAAAGUUUCUGCCUUAUCAGAGGUCUACUUAAUUUUUAUCUGUUAGUGGUAGUAUUUUAAAUGUAACCGAGUUACUGCUAAGUUCAUAAUAUUUGGAAAAAUGUUGAAUGCUUAUUUUAUCAGCAACAACUUCUAAUCUGCACUCUUUGUAAGGUGUUCACGAUAUCUUGCAUCGGCACUUGAGCAGGUACUGUUCCUUUUCUCUAUGUAUCAUCACAUUUGAGAAAUUUUCCUGUUUGAUGUCAUGGUGUUACCUUAUUGGUAGGCCGACAGGGAUUGUGAUUUGUGAGGAGAGACCGAGACAGAAGGAGAGUUGGGUAGAGGAAGGGCAAGGGAGGACAUACCACGAUCUGCAAGUACCAUGGAGGCUGAUGAUGAGCAUGCGUGUGGACCCCUCUUUGUACCUAUGCAACAUCCUAGGCUUCUUUGGCUUAGACGAAGGAGAAGACUUUUGUUGCCGCUCCUUUCCCCUGCCCACGCUGUAGCUAAUCGAAAAGAUCGCAGCCUGAUCAUUGAUUCAAACUGUUCUAGGUUUAAAGGUCAUGUUUUACAUGUUACGGUGCCUUCGGUUCGUAACAGUGAAGCCAAUGGACAUGCAGUUCAGCUGGCGGACAACAUAUUUGGCAAGGAUACACCAGUUGUCCCAGAAAUAGCUGCCGAACAUUUGCCUAUAUAUGCUAAGUGAUAAAAAGUGGGUCAUUCUUCACUGAUCACUUUUGCAUAUGUUCAACAUGAAUUGACAAAAGAUAUACAUGCAGAUAUGGAACAAACCCUGUAGAAGACGUGACCAAUGCAGAUGGCAAGAAAAACAUCACUUAAUUCCCUGUUAGGAGAGUUGCCUAAUAGGUAGCAUAUGUCACCAAUAGCUGUUUUCUUCCUGCUAUCUACGUGCCGUGGGAAAUUAGAGUUAUGUUCCUCUCUUUUGCUAUGGUAUUGUGCUACGAAUCAAGUGUCUGAUGCUUCUGGGUUGUGCAAAGAGCCAUGUGUAUAUUCAUGGUUUACUACCUGUCUGCUCCGCUCUCAUUUUUAGUUCUUUGUAGCUUUUACUACCUCUCAUAUUCUGUUUGGG